UACGUAGGGUGCGAGCGUUAAUCGGAAUUACUGGGCGUAAAGCGUGCGCAGGCGGUUCUGAAAGUCAGUUGUGAAAGCCCCGGGCUUAACCUGGGAACUGCGGUUGAAACUACAGGACUAGAAUCUGGCAGAGGGGGGUGGAAUUCCACGUGUAGCAGUGAAAUGCGUAGAGAUGUGGAGGAACACCGAUGGCGAAGGCAGCCCCCUGGGCUGAGAUUGACGCUCAGGCACGAAAGCGUGGGGAGCAAACAGG
rnacentral:rRNA from 1 species